CGCGUAGACGGCUGUCUAAGUCUGGAGUGAAAGUCCUGCUUUCAAGGUGGGAAUUGCUUUGGAGACUGGAUGGCUUGAGUGCGGAAGAGGUAAGUGGAAUUCCCAGUGUAGCGGUGAAAUGCGUAGAGAUUGGGAGGAACACCAGUGGCGAAGGCGACUUACUGGGCCGUAACUGACGUUGAUGCGUGAAAGCGUGGGGAGCGAACA
rnacentral:rRNA from 1 species